CCUACUGGAGGCAGCAGUAGGGAAUCUUUCACAAUGGGCGAAAGCCUGAUGGAGCAACGCCGCGUGCAGGAUGAAGGCCUUCGGGUUGUAAACUGCUUUUGUACGAGGGUAAACGCAGAUACGCGUAUCUGUCUGAAAGUAUCGUACGAAUAAGGAUCGGCUAACUCCGUGCCAGCAGCCGCGGUAAUACGGAGGAUUCAAGCGUUAUCCGGAUUUAUUGGGUUUAAAGGGUGCGUAGGCGGUCGGAUAAGUUAGAGGUGAAAUCCCGAGGCUCAACUUCGGAAUUGCCUCUGAUACUGUUCGGCUAGAGAGUAGUUGCGGUAGGCGGAAUGUAUGGUGUAGCGGUGAAAUGCUUAGAGAUCAUACAGAACACCGAUUGCGAAGGCAGCUUACCAAGCUACUUCUGACGUUGAGGCACGAAAGCGUGGGGAGCAAACAGGAUUAGAUACCCUUGUAGUC
rnacentral:rRNA from 1 species